AGAACGAACGCUGGCGGCAUGCCUAACACAUGCAAGUCGAACGAACCCUUCGGGGUUAGUGGCGCACGGGUGCGUAACGCGUGGGAACCUGCCUUUUGGUUCGGAAUAACAGUGAGAAAUUGCUGCUAAUACCGAAUAAUGUCUUCGGACCAAAGAUUUAUCGCCAUUAGAUGGGCCCGCGUAGGAUUAGCUAGUUGGUGGGGUAAAGGCCUACCAAGGCGACGAUCCUUAGCUGGUCUUAGAGGAUGAUCAGCCACACUGGGACUGAGACACGGCCCAGACUCCUACGGGAGGCAGCAGUGGGGAAUAUUGGACAAUGGGCGAAAGCCUGAUCCAGCAAUGCCGCGUGAGUGAUGAAGGCCUUAGGGUUGUAAAGCUCUUUUACCCGGAUGAUAAUGACAGUACCGGAGAAUAAAGCCCCGGCUAAACUCCGUGCCAGCAGCCGC
rnacentral:rRNA from 1 species